GACGAACCGUGCGAACGUUAUUCGGAAUCACUGGGCUUAAAGCGCGUGUAGGCGGAUGGGAACGUCGGAAUCUGAAAGCCCCCGGCUCAACCGGGGAAGGGGAGCCGAAACGACCUGUCUGGAGGGACGUAGGGGGACCUGGAACUUCCGGUGGAGCGGUGAAAUGCGUUGAGAUCGGAAGGAACGCCCGUGGCGAAAGCGAGGUCCUGGACGUCUGCUGACGCUGAGACGCGAAAGCUAGGGGA
rnacentral:rRNA from 1 species